rnacentral:rRNA from 1 species
CCUACGGGGGGCAGCAGUGAGGAAUAUUGGUCAAUGGGCGCGAGCCUGAACCAGCCAAGUAGCGUGAAGGAUUACUGCCCUACGGGUUGUAAACUUCUUUUAUAAAGGAAUAAAGUGAGGCACGUGUGCCUUUUUGUAUGUACUUUAUGAAUAAGGAUCGGCUAACUCCGUGCCAGCAGCCGCGGUAAUACGGAGGAUCCGAGCGUUAUCCGGAUUUAUUGGGUUUAAAGGGAGCGUAGAUGGUGUGUUAAGUCAGUUGUGAAAGUUUGCGGCUCAACCGUAAAAUUGCAAGUGAUACUGGCAGUUGUGAGUAAAGUUGAAGGAGGCGGAAUUCGUGGUGU